rnacentral:rRNA from 1 species
GACGGAGGGUGCUAGCGUUGUUCGGAAUGACUGGGCGUAAAGGGCGCGUAGGCGGCUCGUGAAGUCGGGUGUGAAAGCCCGGGGCUCAACCCCGGAACGGCAUCCGAUACUGGCGGGCUUGAGACCGGGAGAGGAGGGUGGAAUACCCAGUGUAGAGGUGAAAUUCGUAGAUAUUGGGAAGAACACCGGUGGCGAAGGCGGCGACCUGGUCCGUGACUGACGCUGAGGCGCGAAAGCGUGGGGAGCAAACAGG